GCCCCCGCCCAUCAGCCCAGCCUGCAAGGAGGCGCCACCGGACCUGCACACUCAGGAGCAGACUCAGCUAGAUUGGAAGAGAGGAUGGGAAGACAAUGGAUGACCUACCUGUGGAGAGAAACUACCCAUUCCAGAACCUCCUCUCUGCUGAAAGCUGAACACUCAAUGGGAAGACCUGUUUGCAGAGAGGAGCCAGCCACUCCAGGGUCUCCGUUCUGCUAGAAGCUGAACACUCGUUGGGACACCCUUGCUGUGGAAAGGACAUCCUUACUGUGGAAAUGAGCUACUAACUGCAGGAGCUGAGGAGCUGCACAGCAAGGUUAAAAGAGCUGUAACACAAACAGGGCUGCAACAUGCCCCUUGCUCCCCACAGGGAGAGAAGAGCUCUGGCCCUCGGAGAAGCCCAGACCUGGGAGCUCCUUGAGCCCGGGCUGUGACUCCCUCUUUGGGGCCCUGGUUGGCGUCACUGCAUUCGCCAGUGCCACUGUUGGAAGCUGCUUGUGAUGCGCCUGGUCCAGGGGGAAGCUGUUUGUUGUGUGCCUGGUCCAGCCACCUCAUGGAGAGCCUGUGCUGGCACCUGGAGCUGCCCAACCUGGGCAGCAGCUUGUGUGUGUGACUGCACAGUGGCCACGCUUGCUCACACACCCCUAGCACACCCCUCUGCUCCACCCGUCUCAAUCUCCCUUGGAUCCGGGAUCCAGUCCUUACAUGAAGCCUACUCAGACCGACAUCACUGUAUCAUUUUUUUGUAUUCUGAAGUCCUUCAGCACUUGAUUCCUUUAAGUUUAAUCUUGGUAUUCUAUUGGGAAUCAUAUGGAAAUGUACAAUGAUAUUUAUUGAAUGAACAGGAAACAGGGAAAGACAUUGACCAGAAAAAGUGUUUAUUC
rnacentral:lncRNA from 1 species